rnacentral:tRNA from 1 species
GCUGCGGUGGUCUAGUGGUUAGGACGGUAGACUGUGGAUCUGCCAACCCGGGUUCAAUUCCCGGUCGCGGCCCCA